rnacentral:rRNA from 1 species
GAUGAACGCUGGCGGCGUGCCUAAUACAUGCAAGUCGAGCGAACAGACGAGGAGCUUGCUCCUCUGACGUUAGCGGCGGACGGGUGAGUAACACGUGGAUAACCUACCUAUAAGACUGGGAUAACUUCGGGAAACCGGAGCUAAUACCGGAUAAUAUAUUGAACCGCAUGGUUCAAUAGUGAAAGACGGUUUUGCUGUCACUUAUAGAUGGAUCCGCGCCGCAUUAGCUAGUUGGUAAGGUAACGGCUUACCAAGGCGACGAUGCGUAGCCGACCUGAGAGGGUGAUCGGCCACACUGGAACUGAGACACGGUCCAGACUCCUACGGGAGGCAGCAGUAGGGAAUCUUCCGCAAUGGGCGAAAGCCUGACGGAGCAACGCCGCGUGAGUGAUGAAGGUCCUCGGAUCGUAAAACCCUGUUAUUAGGGAAGAACAAAUGUGUAAGUAACUAUGCACGUCUUGACGGUACCUAAUCAGAAAGCCACGGCUAACUACGUG